rnacentral:rRNA from 1 species
GACGAACCGUGCAAACGUUGUUCGGAUUGACUGGGCGUAAAGGGCGUGUAGGCGGUUGGUCAAGUCCGAUGUGAAAGCCCGGGGCUCAGCUUCGGAAGUGCAUCGGAAACUAGCCAGCUGGAGCGCGAUAGAGGAGGGCGGAAUUCCUGGUGUAGCGGUGAAAUGCGUAGAUAUCAGGAGGAACACCGGCGGCGAAGGCGGCCCUCUGGAUCGUUGCUAACGCUGAGACGCGAAAGCGUGGGGAGCAAACAGG